UUAUGGAAGCGUCCUAGAGGCCUUAGUUUAACCGAGAGGGGCAGCAAUAUUUCAACCACUGCAAGUUGCCAUGAUGGACGUGUUAAAUGCACAGAAUGACAGUUCUCUAUCUUCUUGCCACUUGGACCCUCAAAUGUAUUCUGAACAUCAGCAGCGAGCUCCCCACCCCACGGGGGAAAGUCUCCAAUCAAAGAUCCUCUGAGGAGCAGGAGCGCCAGGAGAGGCUUUGGAGGGAGCCGCACAUAUUUUGAGGCAGUGCUUCAGAAUCCAGAAGAGCAGAUGAGGAAUGGAAAGGUCCAGUCUUGUCUCUGAUUGUGGCCUUAAAAGACCCUGGACCAUCCUCAGUAGAAUCAUGGUCCAAUAUCCAGUGCACAACAAGAAGCUGACUGCAAGCCAGGAGGAGGGCUCUUGCCAGGAACAGAAUCUGCUGAUACCUUGAGCUUGGACUUCCCAGCCUCAAGAACUAUGAGAAGCAAAUGACUGCUGUUUAAGACAGCCAGUCUGUGAUAUUUUGUCAUAGCAGCUCAAGCGAAUUAGGACAAUGUUCAAGUAAGCUAAAGGGUGCUCUGUUACCAGGAACUCCAGGGGAUCAGCUGUCUGUACAUCAGAGCUGCAUCAGACAUUAAAGAAGAAGCAUGUGAGACCAGCCUCUGUGCAGUCAAGUUCGUUUCAGGCCAAUAUAAAUUCAGUUCCUCUUUCCCCCCAUACUCUUCUAGCACUUUUAGAAUCUAAAAGACAUAUGUUGUCUGUGUGGACAGUGGAGAGCACCUCCAGAAUUUGGGGACAUGGUCAGAAGGUGUCAGGCACUGAAGGAAGAUGCUAAUAGAACUCCCACAAUAUAAUUGAGAUUAACCAUCUACAGAUGAAACCUGUCUUGGGGAGGUUUUGUACAUGCAUUGCUGUGGAUUUAAUGAUUUGCUACAGUAAGUUUAGAUAAUUCGAAGUUUAUUGGGAGAUUAAACUACAUAAAGUAAUGACAAAGUAUGUUGUGAUAAGGUCAUGCUACUUGAAGAGAAUUAAAUGGGUAGACAUGAAUGAUCUUGUACUGAGCCUAGAAAAUGAGAGUUGAAGAGUAAGAAUCACCCAAGAGUGUCAGCAGAAUGGUGGAGAAGGCAUUCUAGACUCUACUAGAGUCUAAGCCACACACCCCUCAGCACCUUUCCCCUGAUUCCUGCUUACCAGGCAAUUUUCACAUAGUUUGAUGCUCUAUUAGACACAUAUACAUUAAGGAUUGUUAUGUCUUCUUGGAGCAUUGACCCCUUGAUCAUUAUAUAAUGCCCUUCUUUAUCCCUGAUAACCUUUCUUGCUUUGAAGUCUGCUCUGAUUGAAGUUAAUAUAGCCACCCACUCUUUUUUUCUUUUCAGUAGUGUUAUGGUAUAUUUUUCUCUGCCCAUUUAUUUUUAAUCUAUAUGUGUCUUUAUAUUUAAAGUGGGUUUCUUCCAUAAGCA